UACAGAGGGGGCAAGCGUUGUUCGGAAUUACUGGGCGUAAAGGGCGCGUAGGCGGCCUGUUAAGUCGAACGUGAAAUCCCCGGGCUCAACCCGGGAACUGCGUCCGAUACUGGCAGGCUUGAAUCCGGGAGAGGGAUGCGGAAUUCCAGGUGUAGCGGUGAAAUGCGUAGAUAUCUGGAGGAACACCGGUGGCAAAGGCGGCAUCCUGGACCGGCAUUGACGCUGAGGCGCGAAAGCCAGGGGAGCAAACGGG
rnacentral:rRNA from 1 species